CCGUACGAGCGCACCCUUAUCCUUACUUGCCAGCACUUCGGGUGGGAACUUUAAGGAGACUGCCGGUGACAAACCGGAGGAAGGAGAGGACGAUGUCAAGUCAUCAUGGCCCUUACGGCCUGGGCUACACACGUGCUACAAUGGGGAGUACAGAGGGUCGCGGAACCGCGAGGUGGGGCUAAUCCCAAAAAACUUCUCGUAGUCCGGAUUGGAGUCUGCAACUCGACUCCAUGAAGUCGGAAUCGCUAGUAAUCGCGAAUCAGCAUGUCGCGGUGAAUACGUUCCCGGGCCUUGUGCACACCGCCCGUCAUACCAUGGGAGUGGGUUGCACCAGAAGUGGCUAGUUUAACCUUCGGGAGAACGGUCACCACGGUGUGGUUCAUGACUGGGGUAGAGUCGUAACAAGGUAGCCGUAGGGGAACCUGCGGCUGGAUCA
rnacentral:rRNA from 1 species